GGAGUCUGGACCGUGUCUCAGUUCCAAUGUGGCCGUUCAGUCUCUCAACCCGGCUACCGAUCGUCGCCUUGGUGAGCAUUUACCUCGCCAACAAGCUAAUCGGACGCGAGCUCAUCUUAAAGCGAUAAAUCUAUAAUACAAAAUCCAUGCGAAAACUGUAUAUUACGCGGUAUUAGCAGUCGUUUCCAACUGUUAUCCCCCUGUACAAGGUAGGUUACCCACGCGUUACUCACCCGUCCGCCACUCAGUCAACAAAUCGUCACCCCGAAGGGAUCGUAAUAAGCUGCUUCGUUCGACUUGCAUGUGUUAAGCACGCCGCCAGCGUUCAUCCUGAGCCAGGAUCAAAACUCU
rnacentral:rRNA from 1 species